GUAUUCGUGGUUCAGUGGUAGAAUUCUCGCCUUCCAAGCAGGAGACCCAGGUUCAAUUCCUAGCCAACACA
rnacentral:tRNA from 1 species